rnacentral:rRNA from 1 species
AUGGAUGCGCUCCUCAGCGCGGCGCAAUGGGUGGUGAGCCAGGCGCUGGCCCCCGUUGCUGAUGGCAUGCUGCAGGCCUGGGGUGACACCAAGAACUUGGGUCUCAACAUUGAGGCCUUGAGGAUGGAGUUGCUGCUCGUGAAGGCCACCCUCGAAACUGCCAGCCACAAGCAGGUUGAUGGCCCGGCCAUGCAGGAGCUGCUGGGGAAGCUGCGGGACUCAGCGCUCUCUGCCGAGGAUUUGCUGGAUGAGCUGGACUACUUUCGCAUCCACGACAAGCUCAACGGCACAUCCGAUGCUGCAGACCAGCAUGCCAAGGGCGGGGUCCACGACCUUGCCCUCAAUGCUCGUCACUUCGCCAAAGCUGUUGGCAAACUGCCAUUUAUAUCCUCAUUCUGUUGUUCUGCUCCCAGCCCUGCAGGCGUUGGUAGAGAAGUAGAAGAGGCAAGACAGCGGGCAAGCUGUUGCGCUUUGCCGCGUGCUAUGCAGAGGUCACGCGGGAAUUCCUCCUCCGCACCAAAUGCCAAUGAGGAGGUCAGUGGAUGCAUGCCCAAGCUCGGUAAACUCCUCCCUUGCUCAUCUUCCCCACAUGUCCAUGAUGAUCGUUCUGGCCAGCCAACUCUUUGUGGUGCGCCACAUGGAGAAACACCAAUGCCGCAGUUUAAUAGGGCUCAUAUCUCUGAAAGAAUGCGCCACAUUGUAGAGCAACUGCAGUCUGUGCGUAAAGAGGUUACCCAGAUUCUGCAGAGUUGUGACCCUAUGACUAUCCCAGAUAUUUCCCAGAGUCGUCCCAUCACCACCAGUCAAAGUAUAGAGCCAAAAUUGUAUGGGAGGGACCAUAUCAUGGAUACCAUCAUACAUGAUAUGACCAACGGUAAAUACCUUGGCCAUGAUGUAACUGUGCUUCCGAUUGUCGGUCCAGGAGGAAUAGGAAAAACAACUCUGAUACAACACAUACAUAGAAACCAACAAGUUCAAAAUCAUUUUCAAGUCAUUAUUUGGAUAUGUGUGUCACUCAGUUUCAAUUUGAAUAAGCUGCUAGAAGAGAUUAAAACAUGCAUCCCUCCAGUUGAAGGGGAAAAAGAUGGCAAGGUAGAAGAUCUGAUUGAACAGAGAUUAAAAUCUAAAAGGUUUUUGCUUGUACUGGAUGAUAUAUGGGAGUUUAGUGACAGGGAUGAUUGGAAAAGGUUAUUGUUGCCACUCAAAACAUCACAAGAACCGGGUAGCAUGAUUCUAGUCACAACUCGGUUUCCAGAAAUAGCAAAGAUGGUUGGAACAGUUAAUCAUAUUGAAUUGCAGGGAAUAGAAUCCGAAGAAUUUAGGAAGUUAUUCCUUGCAUUUAUCUUUGGCAAUGAGCCUGUUAGAAGUGACAGUAUUGUUUGCUCGAGAUUGGAAAUAAGAUAA